GCUUUGCAGGGACGUGGCAGAGGGGCUGCGGGCUAGGGUGUCUGGGAAGGUGUGAUAUCACCGCGAGCGCUGGGCUGACAUCCUGUCACAGAGAUACCUUUCAUUUGGGGGAUUGGUUUCCAUUGUCUCUCUGGCUUGGCUGGCAGGCUUGGCAGGCCUGGCAGGCUUUUCUGCCAGACAGAUGGCUCCAGUACGUGGCUGGUGUUUUAGAGGGUGGAGUGGAACUGAGCUGCUUUCAAGGGCACCUGAGCUCCGUUUGGAGCUGAAGCCGCACAAUAUGAGAGACGCACUUCGGUCACCUGGAAGAUCAUGGAAUCUAAGGCCCAAAGCAAGAAGAUUGGAAGGGAAAUGCUUCGUAAAACUAGAAAGAUAGAAGUUAUGAUUAUUUAUGCCUCACCUACUUCCCAAAGGAUUUGUGAUGACUUACAGAGGGAAAACAAUGUCAAAUUGGGCCACUUGGGAUAAGAAGAGAACCAAGGUCGACUAAAAGGAGGAAAGGGAGUAGUGACUCUCUGGCUGCUGAGAAGAGCUGAUGUCAGCAUAGGGACUCAGCCUUGCUAAUUUUGAAGAAGCUCAACCACAGAUUAUCCAUGUGAAAUUUCUGGCCAUAGAAACUCUCACAAAGGGACUCCUGGUAGGUGGAAAGAAGGCUGAUGCUGCUCUGUGGUCCUUGCAAGAGGUCUAUACAGUGGAGUGAGAGCCAGAGCUUCUUCACGUUCUUUGGGAGAGAAAGAAGACUUUGGAGAUUACAACCCUGUAGGAGAAGUUGGAUUCUCGACGUGUCCCUGGUUUCUAGCUUACCUCCCUAGAGACUUCAGAUUCUUUUCCUUUGGCGAGAUUAGGGAGUUUUCCCUGGUUUGAGCUGAGAUCUCAUCUUACCCUCAUCUAAAGAGGACAUCUAAAGUUAACUCUCAUGAAUAUUCUGAGUAACUUUGAUUUCUGUUUGUUGUUUGUUUGGAUAAAUGGAUUUA